rnacentral:rRNA from 1 species
AUACGAAGGGGGCUAGCGUUGUUCGGAAUCACUGGGCGUAAAGCGCGCGUAGGUGGAUCAAUUAGUUGAGGGUGAAAUCCCGGGGCUCAACCUCGGAACUGCCUUCAAUACUGUUGAUCUUGAGACCGAGAGAGGUGAGUGGAAUUCCUAGUGUAGAGGUGGAAUUCGUAGAUAUUAGGAAGAACACCAGUGGCGAAGGCGGCUCACUGGCUCGGUACUGACGCUGAGGUGCGAAAGCGUGGGGAGCAAACAGGAUUAGAAACCCUAGUAGUCC